rnacentral:misc_RNA from 1 species
GAAAUGCGAUACGUAAUGUGAAUUGCAGAAUUCAGUGAAUCAUCAAAUCCUUGAACGCAACUUGCGCUCGCAGGUCCUCCUGCGAGCAUGCCUGUUCCAGCAUCGGUUCAUUCUCAUAAACAACGAAAACUGUGCAAACAGUUUAUUGUGUGAUGUUUAUGGUGUUGAGGCGUCAAACAACGUUGCACAACAACAACAAAUGUUUGUCCCUUUCAAUCGAUCAGAGAACUUUGUCGUUGCAUUUAUCUGUAGAACAUUAAUCUAUGGAUUGCAAACGUCAACCAACAAUUUGGUGCAUUAGUUUCCUUCAUUGGAAUCCAAUACUCGCCACGAUUGUUUGGAGCUGACUUGCUUUCACACCAAACAUAGAGUUCUGCGCGUAGCGACGACGAAGUGCUGUCUUGCGAAUGAAAUGACAUAACAAUCAUUUUCGUUCCACGACUUCUCAAACUUCGAUCUGGAAUCAGGUAAGACUACCCGCUGAAUUUAAGC